rnacentral:rRNA from 1 species
UACGAAGGGUGCAAGCGUUACUCGGAAUUACUGGGCGUAAAGCGUGCGUAGGUGGUGAGUUAAGUCUGUCGUGAAAGCCCCGGGCUCAACCUGGGAAUGGCGAUGGAUACUGGCUCGCUAGAGUGCGGUAGAGGAGAGUGGAAUUCCCGGUGUAGCAGUGAAAUGCGUAGAGAUCGGGAGGAACAUCAGUUGCGAAGGCGGCUCUCGUGGACCAGCACUGACACUGAGGCACGGAAAGCGUGGGGAGCAAACAGG